rnacentral:siRNA from 1 species
CACCGUUGGUCACACAUAGUGC